rnacentral:rRNA from 1 species
GAUGAACGCUGGCGGCGUGCCUAAUACAUGCAAGUCGAGCGAACAGACGAGGAGCUUGCUCCUCUGACGUUAGCGGCGGACGGGUGAGUAACACGUGGAUAACCUACCUAUAAGACUGGGAUAACUUCGGGAAACCGGAGCUAAUACCGGAUAAUAUAUUGAACCGCAUGGUUCAAUAGUGAAAGACGGUUUUGCUGUCACUUAUAGAUGGAUCCGCGCCGCAUUAGCUAGUUGGUAAGGUAACGGCUUACCAAGGCAACGAUGCGUAGCCGACCUGAGAGGGUGAUCGGCCACACUGGAACUGAGACACGGUCCAGACUCCUACGGGAGGCAGCAGUAGGGAAUCUUCCGCAAUGGGCGAAAGCCUGAUGGAGCGACGCCGCGUGAGUGAUGAAGGUCUUCGGAUCGUAAAACUCUGUUAUUAGGGAAGAACAAAUGUGUAAGUAACUAUGCACGUCUUGACGGUACCUAAUCAGAAAGCCACGGCUAACUACGUG